GCCUGGGUGGCUCAGUCCAUUAAGCAUCUGACUUCUGCUCAGGUCCUAAUCUUGCUGCUUGUGAGUUCAAGCCCCACAUCAGGCU
rnacentral:tRNA from 1 species